rnacentral:rRNA from 1 species
CAGUAGCCGCGGUAAUACGUAGGUCCCGAGCGUUGUCCGGAUUUAUUGGGCGUAAAGCGAGCGCAGGCGGUUAGAUAAGUCUGAAGUUAAAGGCUGUGGCUUAACCAUAGUACGCUUUGGAAACUGUUUAACUUGAGUGCAAGAGGGGAGAGUGGAAUUCCAUGUGUAGCGGUGAAAUGCGUAGAUAUAUGGAGGAACACCGGUGGCGAAAGCGGCUCUCUGGCUUGUAACUGACGCUGAGGCUCGAAAGCGUGGGGAGCAAACAGGAUUAGAUACCCGAGUAGUCCCUGUCUCUUAUACC